AGGGGAUAUUUGGUUGUAGCUGGCUCAUGAAUUUGGGCAUGUGCACACCUAUCUCUUUCAUCCACACACACCUGUGCACUUGUGAGNCAGAUGGGGAAUUUAUUGUUGUUUUUAAAACAUUGGUGCUGGACCCUCUGUCUACUCAAUAUAUAAACUCAAUUUAUUUAGAAAUGAAUGUAAUGGAUGUAACGCAUCUAAUACUAAGUUUCAACAACGGAUCUCUUGGCUCUCGCAUCGAUGAAGAACGCAGCGAAAUGCGAUAAGUAAUGUGAAUUGCAGAAUUCAGUGAAUCAUCGAAUCUUUGAACGCACCUUGCGCUCCUUGGUAUUCCUUGGAGCAUGCCUGUUUGAGUAUCAUGAAAUCUUCAAAGUAAAUCUUUUGUUAACUCAAUUGGUUCUACUUUGGUAUUGGAGGUCUUUGCAGCUUCACACCUGCUCCUCUUCGUUCAUUAGCUGGAUCUCAGUGUUAUGCUUGGUUCCACUCAGCGUGAUAAGUUAUCUAUCGCUGAGGACACUGUAACAGGUGGCCAAGGGAAAUGCAGAUGAACCGCUUCUAAUAGUCCAUUGACUUGGACACUAUUUUUAAUCGAUCUCAAAUCAGGUAG
rnacentral:rRNA from 1 species